rnacentral:tmRNA from 3 species
GGGGCCGACUGGUUUUGACAGUAAGGACGGAUUUUGUGCUUGCGUGCCGGGUGAUGAGUGUACAUCCGUGAGCAAUUCACUCAAACAACAAUUGGCGAAUCUAAUUACGCCAUGGCUGCUUAAUCUUAACUUAACGUUGAGGUAAAGGCUUAAAGGGUUGAGUCUCUAGCGAGAUUCCCCAGCCACAUCCACCAGUGCCUCGUUCUUCCGGUGCUGAUUUUGGGUGUCGACAUGGUUGAACUAGUGGGUGCGAGGCUACUAAGCACCUGCGAAAUUAAGUGGCUAAGCUGUGCGUUGGUAUGUUGCCUACCGGCAAGCAGUCGAAAAUUCAAUCGGUAACUAUGCAUGUAGACGGUACAUUUUUCCCUUAUCUGGACGAGGGUUCGACUCCCUCCGGCUCCACUG